CUUUCUUCCCGAAGGAAGGAAGGGCACCAAAGAAGUGGGGUGCACAGAAUGGUUAUAUACCCCCAGAGAGGAUGUUUCACAUAGGAUUGAAAUGUCCCUUUUACAAUAGUCGCGAGACUGCUCUGUCGGCACAGUGAUUGAUGGACACAGCAGGUAGCUCUGCUGUCUCAGUGGACACAGCAGGGUGGCAGGUCUGUUGUCUCGAGCUGGGUGGUCACGGGUGAGCAGAGCAAUCAGUUCCUGGCCUAAGGAAAGAUGCUUAUCCUUAAGGAAAUGCCAAUGUGAGGGGGAUGUUGCACCUUUAUCUUAAGGGCAUUUGUUCUUGCCAUAGGAAGUGUUUAAAGCAGAUAUACAAUGCAUGCUCAAUGGCCAUGUCAGGCCCUUUUGGAAAAACAAAGUCAGGCUGAAUUAAGUUUACACCAAAUGGCUUCAUCAUAUACUCCUAUUGCUUGCCAUUUCUAUUUGUCAUUAGAAGAAGAAAUUUAGUGUCAAUUUGGAGAUUUUUUGUUCCAUCAGCCAAUACAGUGAAUUCCCCAUUUCAUAAGUGUAAAUAUGGUUCUGAAUUUGAAGCAUUAAGAUAGGAAAAAUAACAUCAUUAAAAUUUAGGUCACCCAUUCUACAUUAAGUCUUUCAGUCCAAAUUUCUACAUUCCUUGAAUUUCACGUGAAUUCUAAUGUUCACUCUUUUCAUUUCUUUAUCUUCCAACUUUCUCUAAAGGUUCAUUCAAUGUAAUAGAUGGGAUUAUGAAUGAUUAUAUAUGCAUGUACAUAUAUGUGAAAUAAUGUGGUUCUUUGAAACAAAAAUGUACACAAAUACACACAUAUACACACCUAUUUUUGGUCUGGUAACAUAUGAUUUAAUAUUUUGCCUCAUCAUACUUAAGAUGAACUCUGACUCUAAAGCGAUAUUGUGUAAAUCUACUUAUUGCUAUUCAUGUUUGUCUAUCCAAGUAGCUUGCACUUGGAGACCUGUAUUUCAUUGUCAAGUUUUGCUAGUGACUACGGUAGGCAUGAUAGACAGUGAUGUGAAUAACAAAAAAGGAUCCUAAUGAGUAUUAAAAAUGCACGGUCAUUUUAAUAAGCAGGAUGUUAAGUCUGCACUAUGAAGAAGAUCAGUUAAUGUAGUGAUAUGCAAAGGAAUGAUGUUCACAAAAGUGAAAAACAGUUGUCAAAGAUUUUCCUCCUUUUAAACUUAUAUAAAUACCUGUUGUUGCCAAGAGUAGUUUUCUCCAUAGGAAUAGCAAAACCCAUCUUAGUUAAACAAAAGAAACAAUACUCAGUAUGAUAUAUUUUAUUUCAGAAGAAAUUUCUUUUAAGUGAUUCAUGUAGUCCCUUGAAAUAAAUGGAAAUUUCCAAAUAUUUCACACUCAAUGUUAGGAAUAACACUGGGAGAGUAGGAAAAUGAUGAAAGGAAAAACUCCUGGAUAUCAGGGAGGUCACGAAUCUUAAUAAUAUAGUUAAAUAUCUUGUACAGAGAUGUUGAAAUCAAAGAAAUAAAAAUUCCAGGAAAAAAUGAAAGUGGUGUGUUCUACUUCCACAAUGAGCUAGGAAUCACAGUUUCUGGCUCUGAGCUUUGAACCCUGCAAUCACAGGCACUUCUUACACACUAGGGCAAUUGGUCCUCAUAUACCUCCUAUCCCAAAGAAUGUUUUCUGAGCCCUCUUUAUGUCUUUGUCUGUCAUUUCAUAGGAUGAAAGAACACUCUA
ensembl:lncRNA